UCCAAUGUACGGUUUGCAAGAUAUGGCUCAGUGAAUUUCAGAAAAGACCCGUAAUCAGGAGGCCAUAACUACCACAUACUUUGUCCAAAUUGCAAGUUCUUUAUAUGCACAAACUCCAUUUGACAUGUACUUCAAGGGUGCAUCAUUGGAUUUUUCCAAAAAUGGCCAAUGCAAAAAGUCACUUUUCAACUGGACUGUUAUUUGAACCAGGGGCAAAAUCGUCCAACUUGUGAAAUAAUUGGAAUUUUUGAGAGGGGAUUUUUGCAACACCUCACAAAUGGCAUUUGAAAUUUGUUGGAAUAUUCACAACAUGCCUAGGCCUUAUGGUUUGAGAAUUGGGUUUGAAAAUGAAUUGGAAAAAAUGGACACAUAAGCCAUCACAUGGUGAAAUUGGAAAAUAUGAUGAAUUUGAAAAUAAAGCUUACACCAACAGCUCCCAAAUGAUAUUUUGGACUUGUUUCAAGUGAUAAAAUUCUGCAGAAGUUGCUUCUAAGUAUCAAAGGCAAAAGAUCCAAAUUCACACAUAAACAUGCUUACACUAAUCCAUUUUUGUUUAACUAUAAUUAAAUUUGGAUUAAAUAUUCCAUAUAUAAGGUUAAUCUAACAGAAUUUUGCGGGGUGGUGAAUCAUUUUCCACAGCAUAACAGAAAAUCCCAAAAUCACUCUCUGCAAAAUCACUUUCUGCAAAAUCACUUUCUGAAAAAUGACUUUCUAAAAAAUCACUCUCUCUCAAUCAUUUUUUUCUCACAAUCACUCACGCAAUUCUCGCCACUCUCUCACAAUCACUCUUCACACCAUAACCGAAAAAACCAAUUCUCUCUUCUCUCAUUUUUGGCUCUACAGGCUCUUGCUCAAAUUCAUCAAGAUUUCAUCAAUUAUUGUGGAAUUUGUCUGUUGAUUCGUGAUAUGCAGGUAAACGGUGAAUUUCUGUUGAUCAAGAUUGGAGCGAAACGGUGACCGGUUCGUGUUAUUGCCAAAACCUGCUAGCUGCCGUAACAGCCGAAGAAACUACUCGAUCGGUGCUUCGUUGAGCUGGAUUAGCUUCGUCAUCCUCCUUUCACAACCGAUUCCUGCAUCUAUUUCGCCGUCUCAAGCUUCAAAUCGCCAUUUCCGCAACCGUCAUCAAGAAAGGUACCUUUAGUUGCUCAAUUCCUUGCGAACUUUUGCUUUGCGUUGCUUAAGCAACUUGCAUUGAGGUAGGUCUUCUUGACUUCAUGUAGUCUGGAGACCCGGCUGCUACCGGGCCGGGCAAAUAAAUGUCUGAAGUCCUCCUUAAGAGGCAAUGCUUGUGUAUGUUUAUUUUUAAGCCAAGCAGGAAAAGCCCUUCGAGUAAGGCAAUUGGUGGAAGGUAGGGACAAGCAACCUGUCCCCCACUAUUCAGUGAGUCUUCUCCUUGCUCCCAUUACAUGGUUGUAGCAUUGAGAUCAAAAGCCCAAGAUCUGUUGAGUCAGAGUCAUCGAGUAUAGAAGGGUUCCCCUAUUCUGGACCCAUGCUCAUUUGUCAGCUCUCCCUGGUUAGGGAUAAGAGCCGUGAGGUCUGAUCCUCACUUCAUCCUUUCAUCUGCUUCACCUUAGCCUCGUAAUGGCAAGGUUAAGAGCAAAACCAGCCUGUACAGACGACUCGCUUCGGCGGUCAAACCCGAUUGAUUGAGCCCCUUGUUUGGCUAUAGUGCGUGUUAUGUGGAUAUCUGAUUGACAUGCUUGUUUGGGAUACCUGUUCCCAUUUGAUGAUAUAUGAUUGUAUGCUUGUGUGCUAGCUUCUUUCCUGGUUAGGUUAGUUUGCUUAUGCAAGUAGGAUAGAAAACCGAACUUAGGGUUAACGAUGCAUGACAACAUUAGGCUCGAGUCUCAGCUCCCUAGUUGUGUAUCUUUCCCCGGUUUCUGGUUAGCAAUUCAGUCCCGUUCAGGGGAACUACAUCGCCCUGAUCCUCGUGCCAGACGAGGUAUGUAGGCAGGUGGUCGUGCGAGACCACUCCGGGCAACCUUUUUCUUUUUUGCGUGUGUUUACUUGCUAUUGAUUGUUUGGGUUCGGAUGCCGACGUAAGCCCAGUGAUUGGCAGUCGGGCUCCACGUUUGCCGUUUUGUACAUAUUUUGGUUCGGAUGCCGACGUAAUUCCAUCCAGUGGUUGUCGGGCUCCAUGUUUGCCACCCCCUUUGUAUGAUUGUUUUGUGUUGUUUGGCGUGUGUAA